rnacentral:lncRNA from 1 species
GAGUGGCGCUGGUUGAUGUCUGCACGAAGCCUUGAGAAAGAAGACCGGCACAACCUGAUAGCAAGCUUCCAGAAGAUCCUCUACGCAAAAGAUGCCGCUGAGCUUGAGGCAGCCAAAGCAUCUUUACGGUCCCUACCUCCUGCAUCCUACAUUCAAAGAGUCGAGGCAUUCCUUCACCGCGAACAUGAGUGGGUGCUACUGUACCAUGCUGGGGUCGUAACUAGAGGACAGAACACCAACAAUUAUUCUGAGGCAUCUGUCCGAAUCCUCAAAGACAAUUCUCAGCCGGACCAAAGCUUACAACGCAGUAGCCUUAAUUGAAUUCAUCAUGGAAAAUUGGGAAAAGUAUUUCGAAACAUGGCUUCUGUGCCACACAAGUCAUCAUGAAAAUUCACACAGAAUUGGCUUCCAGCACCUGCUCCAAAAAAUGCCCGAAAUUUCACCCAACUCAAUAGUCCAUAUUGAAGAAAAUGUGUACAAGGUGCCAAGCUCUUUGGGUAAUAAGAUGUAUGAGGUAAGGGCUGAUGUAGGAACAUGCAGCUGUUUUGCUGGAGACCAGGGAGCGUUCUGCAAGCACCAGGCAGUGGUUCAGCGGGCCUUUGGUGGCCCUUUCCCAAACAGUCCCGAGCUAACAUCAGCCAACUGCAGGAACCUGGGUCAACUUGCACUUGGAGAUGGGUGUACACCAGAGCAAUUUUAUAUGCCGUUCGGCACAUCAGGACAUCGGGGCACCCUCUCCUCCUCCUGGGACCAGUCAGCCAGCAGCAGGUGGAAAGGCCAGCUACAGUGAGCCGCCCAAUGAUGCAGAAGAUCCUCCUGCUGGCCACAGCUCACAGCCCGAGGACCCACCAGGGCACAAUGACUACACCGUCUUCAUCCAGGCAAUGGAGAAGAUUGGUGCGUGAGCUGCGAAAGUACCAGCAACCUCUGCACUUAUGUCAUCUCUUGCUGCCGCAGUGAACGGAGUCAACACCGACAGUGCAACUCAUGACCUAUUCCUAAGGUUUGGCCUGCUGCGUUGGCACAAAGCGGCACGGCAGAAAAAUAAAAGUGCA